UAUCAUACAUAGCCCGCCAUUUAGAUGUAAUUAAAAAUGGUCUUUUGUCUUUCUUAUGGCCUUGAAAUAUCAAAUGACAAAGUCCUGGAUCAAUAAAAAAACCUAAGAUGAUAACAGAGACUAAGAGUGAAGGAGGACACCAAAAGGAUUCAGGUGUCCCAAAUCCUGCAGUUUAGGCACCCAGCGAUGUAUCCAAGCUCACAUUUAAAAGAGAGAAAUUCCAUUCAUAUUGCACUGGGACUGGUAGCUAAAGAGAAAAUGUGUAGCACCAAAAGCCAUAAACAUUGCAAGUGAAUCACAAGCUUAUUCAGAUAUCCAAAGAUGGAUCUCAGUUAUGGAACUAUGAGACAGUAGAAAUCCCUAGACUUCAGAGUCAAUCCCAAGUGCAAACCCAACUCUACUAUUUCCAAGCUGUGUGAUCUUGAGAAAGUGAUACAAAACCACCUUAAGGAAAUUACUGCCUGCCUCCUGAAACAAAGUGUUUAUUCUCUGAUUUGAUGGUCCCUACCUCCUCUUAUGGAAACUGUACUGGAUACUUUUUAGUUUACAGAAGAAAUGAAGCAUAUGUCUAAGGCAUGAGGCCCUUCCAGAAGAAGGAAAGUCUGGAUUUGAGUCCUAAGGAGGCUUGUUACAGAAUGAGGACGCUGGCCACCCUUAGGAGGUGUUUCGCAUGUGAAGAAAAGGAGUAGAGAAGAGGCAAGCAGGUGCUGAGAAAAAGCUCUGCUUACUUUGGCACUUGUUCUUGUGUCCAGUGAGGGACAUCUCACCAAUUAGGAGUUACAAAGGACAAAACAAA